rnacentral:rRNA from 1 species
AGAAUCAACGCUGGCGGCAUGCCUAACACAUGCAAGUCGAACGAGAAAGUCCUUCGGGAUGAGUACAGUGGCGUACGGGUGAGUAACGCGUGGGUUAUCUGCCUCUGGGUGGGGAAUAACUCGGGGAAACUCGAGCUAAUACCGCAUAACACGGCAACGUUAAAGCAGCAAUGCGCCUGGAGAUGAGCCUGCGUCCGAUUAGCUAGUUGGCGGGGUAAUGGCCCACCAAGGCGACGAUCGGUAGCCGGCCUGAGAGGGCGGUCGGCCACACUGGCACUGAAAUACGGGCCAGACUCCUACGGGAGGCAGCAGUGAGGAAUUUUGGGCAAUGGGCGAAAGCCUGACCCAGCAAUGCCGCGUGAACGAUGAAGUCCUUCGGGAUGUAAAGUUCGUAAGCAGGAGAAGAACACAAUGACGGUAUCCUGUGUAAGCC